UACGGAGGGUGCAAGCGUUGUCCGGAAUCACUGGGCGUAAAGGGCGCGUAGGCGGCUCAUGAAGGCUGUGGUGAAAGUCCGGGGCUCAACCUCGGAUCGGCCGUGGCGACUCGUGGGCUGGAGCACUGUAGAGGCGGGUGGAAUUCCUGGUGUAGCAGUGAAAUGCGUAGAUAUCAGGAGGAACACCGAUGGCGAAGGCAGGUCUCUGGGCUGACACUGACGCUCAUGCACGAAAGCGUGGGGAGCAAACAGG
rnacentral:rRNA from 1 species